rnacentral:rRNA from 1 species
UCUACCCUACGGGGGGCAGCAGUAGGGAAUCUUCCACAAUGGACGAAAGUCUGAUGGAGCAACGCCGCGUGAGUGAAGAAGGGUUUCGGCUCGUAAAGCUCUGUUGGUAGUGAAGAAAGAUAGAGGUAGUAACUGGCCUUCAUUUGACGGUAAUUACUUAGAAAGUCACGGCUAACUACGUGCCAGCAGCCGCGGUAAUACGUAGGUGGCAAGCGUUGUCCGGAUUUAUUGGGCGUAAAGCGAGUGCAGGCGGGUCAAUAAGGCUGGUGUGAAAGCCUUUGGCUCAACCGGAGAAUUGCCU